rnacentral:lncRNA from 1 species
GGAUGCUCAUCUUGACGUUUUAUUUAACUCAAAAAUACGAACACCAAAAUAACAAACAACAAACUCACGAUCAACACAACAGUCUUGUAAGGCUUACUCACGCUAAACAAGAAACAGGCAAAACAAGAAACAAUCUCCCACAAAAUACAAACCAAAACACACCCUAAUAUAUAGGACUCUCAAUCAAAGGCAAAGAGACAACACCUGCCUUCAAUUGAGAGUCCCAACCCCAAUUAACUAAACAUAGAAACAGAUUUACUAGACAAAACAUAGAAAUACAUGAAUAUGACACAGUGCCCAAAAAACCACGGAAUACAUAAAUCAAAUGCCCUUCUACAAAAACCACCACCCCGAACCACAUAAAACAAAUACCCUCUGCCACGUCCUGACCAAACUACAAUAACAAUUAACCCUUAUACUGGUCAGGACGUGACACCCCUCACUGUAUUGUAGAUAUGUGGUCUGAGGUAACACACUAAAUGUAUUGUAGAUAUGUGGUAGUAGAGUAGUGGUCUGAGGUAACACACUAAAUGUAUUGUAGAUAUGUGGUAGUAGUGUAGUGGUCUGAGGUAACACACUAAAUGUAUUGUAGAUAUGUGGUAGUAGAGUAGUGGUCUGAGGUAACACACUAAAUGUAUUGUAGAUAUGUGGUAGUAGAGUAGUGGUCUGAGGUAACACACUAAAUGUAUUGUAGAUAUGUGGUAGUAGAGUAGUGGUCUGAGGUAACACACUAAAUGUGUUGUAGAUAUGUGGUAGUAGUGUAGUGGUCUGAGGUAACACACUAAAUGUAUUGUAGAUAUGUGGUAGUAGAGUAGUGGUC